GUCAGUGCUCGUGACCAGUAAGUCCUGCUGCCGGGGGGAGGAGCCUUCACAGGGGACAGCAUGAGGCUGCGGCCCAGCUCACUCGGCAACACUGAGGGUUUCCAGCUCAUGCAGCCAGGCACUCAAAGGAGCCGCGGCUUUUCGACUCGGUUCCGAGCACAGACGACCGAGCACGAGAUCAGGCUGGUCCCCCAGUCGCAUUCAAAUGCUUACGUAGCUUUGCGUCCGCAUUAUCGUGGCUGAGCACCUGUGCCCGAUCUCACUCUCCCCCCAAAGUGUAAUUCCGUGUAAGGGCGACCCGGUUCAGAAAAGCAGCGAGGUCUGUCUGGGCUGAUGGGCGUGGUGCUCCGUCUGUGCGCAUGUGUGUGCCCACCUGCACGUGUGUGUAAAUGCUGCCUGUGCACUCAUCCCCGCGCGUGCAUACGCUGUGCGUGCGCCUGUGCCCGCGUGUUUACACGCUGCGUGUGCACCUGCGUGCGUCCAUUUGCACACGUGUGUGCGCACCUGUGCGCUUAUGGGCGUGCGCUGUGUGCGCGCCUGUGCGCGUGGGGGUGCGCACCUGUGCGGAUGUGUCUGCGCACGCGUGAGCGCGCGCAGGUGGACGCAGGGCCGUCAGCGCGAACCCCAGGGGCCAGCGUCCCUCCCGCGCCUCCCGCGCCUCCGCCCGCACCAACGGCCGCGUCCCGCCCUGGGCGGACGACUACCUGCCAUGGAGGAAGAGCCGAUGAUGGUGACCUGGGGGUCGCUGGCUUGCACGUUGGAAGAGAUGUGGCCCAUGACGGUGUCGACGGUCUCUAUCAAGCCCAGCACGACGGCGUUGUCCUGCAAACGACACAACGUGAAGGAACUGAGCAAAUGGAACGGGCACAACUGCCCUCCCCAGACGCACUCGCCGAGCUCGCGGGGUCCUGCUCCGCACUGGCGCCGCCGGUGCCCCCUCCCCCUCCAAAGGUAGAGCGCCGCGUGUCUGCGGAGGCCAUGGUGGGCCAGGCCAGACCUCUCCGUGACCGGAUGGGAAGGAGCCGUGCCACUACCCCUCUCACAGGCAAACGCCCCACCGAGCCCGCGGAACACAGUCCCCCGGGCCACCCAAGCCAUUGGCUCCAAGGCUUAGCCCCAGGUGACAGAGACCCAGUCCCAGCUGCACCCUGAAGUCACCAGGAACUUCAGCCAAUCUCUGACCGGCCCUGCCAUGCCCCCUUCUGUUUCCCGCGGAAGGGGCUAACUGGCCCCAAGUUCCCUCCAGGACAAGGACACCAGCGGCUUCACCCUAUUCUACAUGCAGGGGAUGGACGCCAGCUCCCCAGAUCCUCUCUGCAUGACCUUCCUGGUGCACCCCUUCCCUCCAAGGGCCCUCUCCACUUACUCUGCAUCCCCCAAGCAGAGAGGAUCCCAGUGGUCACUGCCCCCAAGAAGGCAGGGGUCCCUCCUGGUCACCCCGUAUCUCUGCAGACAGCCCACCUUGGGCUGACUGCCCCUCAUCGUGAGACACUCAUCUACCAGGGACAGGGCCUCUCAGCCACCCAGGCACGCAGUGGCUGUUCCCAUCUGCCAUCAUGCCCCUCUCUCCUUCCCGCCUUUCUGAAAACCAUCUGUCAGCUAAGCGUCCUUAGCAUUCUCUCACAAACACAUGCUCCAUGGGAAUCUAAUGAGGUGGAAAUAGAACAGGGAGGCCAAUUUUAGACAUUUUCUUUCAGGCCUGUGGCCUGGUUUCAAUCAGCUAAGCCCGGUGGAGCACAUGGAGAUCUGUGUUUCUGGCCGGCAGUUCUGUUGGGCAGUGGCUGAUUUGUACCUUCUCUCUAAGGAACAGUCGAGCCUGCCUAAGCCUGAAUGGUUUCAUGAUCGUUUCUGUUCUGUGGCGGAGCAUUCAAAAAAAGUCACUUUAAAAUGAUGCUGAGAAAAUAGGCCUACUCAGGUCCUCCGCUGGCCAUGUUCCCAGGCUUUCCCAGGCUGCAGCCCUGUACAGAGCCACCCCCGGAGGUCAUGAACUCUAGACGGCUGUGCCUUUUAGAAAAGGUUUCUAGGUAAGAUUAUCCCAAUCUUAAAUGCAGGAUCCUUUAUCCCCCCUCCCUUUGCCAGGGUUAAAUCCAAGCUCAUUCUGUUUGAAACUGUUCAAAUAAAAAGUUCAUCAAAUGUAAA